ACGCACGCUGGCGGCGUGCUUAACACCUGCAAGUCGAACGGAAAGGCCCUGCUUUUGUGGGGUGCUCGAGUGGCGAACGGGUGAGUAACACGUGAGUAACCUGCCCUUGACUUUGGGGUAACUUCAGGAAACUGGGGCUAAUACCGGAUAGGAGCUCCUGCUGCAUGGUGGGGGUUGGAAAGUUUCGGCGGUUGGGGAUGGACUCGCGGCUUAUCAGCUUGUUGGUGGGGUAGUGGCUUACCAAGGCUUUGACGGGUAGCCGGCCUGAGAGGGUGACCGGCCACAUUGGGACUGAGAUACGGCCCAGACUCCUACGGGAGGCAGCAGUGGGGAAUAUUGCACAAUGGGCGGAAGCCUGAUGCAGCAACGCCGCGUGCGGGACGACGGCCUUCGGGUUGUAAACCGCUUUCGCCUGUGACGAAGCGUGAGUGACGGUAAUGGGUAAAGAAGCACCGGCUAACUACGUG
rnacentral:rRNA from 1 species